rnacentral:rRNA from 1 species
GUCCAGACUCCUACGGGAGGCAUCAGUGAGGAAUAUUGGUCAAUGGGCGAGAGCCUGAACCAGCCAAGUCGCGUGAGGGAUGACUGCCCUAUGGGUUGUAAACCUCUUUUGUAUGGGGGGAAUAAGCUUUACGAGUAGAGUGAUGACAGUACCAUACGAAUAAGCAUCGGCUAACUCCGUGCCAGCAGCCGCGGUAAUACGGAGGAUGCGAGCGUUAUCCGGAUUUAUUGGGUUUAAAGGGUGCGUAGGCGGUGUAGCAAGUUAGAAGUGAAAUACCUAGAGCUUAACUCAGGUGCUGCUUCUAAAACUGCUAUACUUGAGUGCAGUAGAGGAAAGUGGAAUUCCUAGUGUAGCGGUGGAAUGCGUAGAUAUUAGGAGGAACAUCAGUGGCGAAGGCGACUUUCUGGACUGUAACUGACGCUGAGGCACGAAAGUGUGGGGAGCAAACAGGAUUAGAUACCCCGGUAC